rnacentral:rRNA from 1 species
UACAGAGGUCUCAAGCGUUAUUCGGAAUUACUGGGCUUAAAGGGUGCGUAGGCGGCGCAGUAAGUUGGGUGUGAAAUCCCUCGGCUUAACCGAGGAAUUGCGCCCAAAACUACUGUGCUCGAGGGAGAUAGAGGUGAGCGGAACUUAGGGUGGAGCGGUGAAAUGCGUUGAUAUCCUAAGGAACACCGGUGGCGAAAGCGGCUCACUGGAUCUCUUCUGACGCUGAGGCACGAAAGCUAGGGUAGCAAACGGG